UACAGAGGGUGCAAGCGUUAAUCGGAAUUGCUGGGCGUAAAGGGUGCGUAGGUGGUUGUAUAAGUUAGGUGUGAAAGCCCCAGGCUUAACCUGGGAACUGCGCCUAAUACUGUAUGGCUAGAGUAUUGUAGAGGAAAGUGGAAUUUCCGGUGUAGCGGUGAAAUGCGUAGAUAUCGGAAGGAACACCAGUGGCGAAGGCGACUUUCUGGACAAAUACUGACACUGAGGCACGAAAGCAUGGGGAGCAAACAGG
rnacentral:rRNA from 1 species